rnacentral:rRNA from 1 species
GGUCCGGGCGUUAUCCGGAUUUACUGGGUGUAAAGGGAGCGUAGACGGCGAUGCAAGUCUGAAGUGAAAGCCCGGGGCUCAACCCCGGGACUGCUUUGGAAACUGUAUAGCUAGAGUGCUGGAGAGGCAAGCGGAAUUCCUAGUGUAGCGGUGAAAUGCGUAGAUAUUAGGAAGAACACCAGUGGCGAAGGCGGCUUGCUGGACAGUAACUGACGUUGAGGCUCGAAAGCGUGGGGAGC